CGCUGGCGGCGUGCCUAAUACAUGCAAGUCGAAUUAGUUCUGAUUAUUGAAAGGUGCUUGCAUCUUGAUUUAAUUUUGAACGAGUGGCGGACGGGUGAGUAACACGUGGGUAACCUGCCCUUAAGUGGGGGAUAACAUUUGGAAAUAGAUGCUAAUACCGCAUAAAUCCAAGAACCGCAUGGUUCUUGGCUGGAAGAUGGCGUAAGCUAUCGCUUUUGGAUGGACCCGCGGCGUAUUAGCUAGUUGGUGAGGUAACGGCUCACCAAGGCAAUGAUACGUAGCCGAACUGAGAGGUUGAUCGGCCACAUUGGGACUGAGACACGGCCCAAACUCCUACGGGAGGCAGCAGUAGGGAAUCUUCCACAAUGGACGCAAGUCUGAUGGAGCAACGCCGCGUGAGUGAAGAAGGCUUUCGGGUCGUAAAACUCUGUUGUUGGAGAAGAAUGGUCGGCAGAGUAACUGUUGUCGGCGUGACGGUAUCCAACCAGAAAGCCACGGCUAACUACGUGCCAGCAGCCGCGGUAAUACGUAGGUGGCAAGCGUUAUCCGGAUUUAUUGGGCGUAAAGCGAGCGCAGGCGGUUUUUUAAGUCUGAUGUGAAAGCCCUCGGCUUAACCGAGGAAGUGCAUCGGAAACUGGGAAACUUGAGUGCAGAAGAGGACAGUGGAACUCCAUGUGUAGCGGUGAAAUGCGUAGAUAUAUGGAAGAACACCAGUGGCGAAGGCGGCUGUCUGGUCUGUAACUGACGCUGAGGCUCGAAAGCAUGGGUAGCGAACAGGAUUAGAUACCCUGGUAGUCCAUGCCGUAAACGAUGAAUGCUAGGUGUUGGAGGGUUUCCGCCCUUCAGUGCCGCAGCUAACGCAUUAAGCAUUCCGCCUGGGGAGUACGACCGCAAGGUUGAAACUCAAAGGAAUUGACGGGGGCCCGCACAAGCGGUGGAGCAUGUGGUUUAAUUCGAAGCAACGCGAAGAACCUUACCAGGUCUUGACAUCUUUUGAUCACCUGAGAGAUCAGGUUUCUCCUUCGGGGGCAAAAUGACAGGUGGUGCAUGGUUGUCGUCAGCUCGUGUCGUGAGAUGUUGGGUUAAGUCCCGCAACGAGCGCAACCCUUAUGACUAGUUGCCAGCAUUUAGUUGGGCACUCUAGUAAGACUGCCGGUGACAAACCGGAGGAAGGUGGGGAUGACGUCAAAUCAUCAUGCCCCUUAUGACCUGGGCUACACACGUGCUACAAUGGAUGGUACAACGAGUUGCGAGACCGCGAGGUCAAGCUAAUCUCUUAAAGCCAUUCUCAGUUCGGACUGUGGGCUGCAACUCGCCUACACGAAGUCGGAAUCGCUAGUAAUCGCGGAUCAGCACGCCGCGGUGAAUACGUUCCCGGGCCUUGUACACACCGCCCGUCACACCAUGAGAGUUUGUAACACCCGAAGCCGGUGACGUAACCCUUUUAGGGAGCGAGCCGUCUAAGGUGGGACAAAUA
rnacentral:rRNA from 1 species